rnacentral:rRNA from 1 species
CCUAUGGGUGGCAGCAGUGAGGAAUAUUGGUCAAUGGGCGCGAGCCUGAACCAGCCAAGUAGCGUGAAGGAUGACUGCCCUACGGGUUGUAAACUUCUUUUAUAAAGGAAUAAAGUGAGGCACGUGUGCCUUUUUGUAUGUACUUUAUGAAUAAGGAUCGGCUAACUCCGUGCCAUCAGCCGCGGUAAUACGGAGGAUGCGAGCGUUAUCCGGAUUUAUUGGGUUUAAAGGGAGCGUAGAUGGGUUGUUAAGUCAGUUGUGAACGUUUGCGGCUCAACCGUAAAAUUGCAAUUGAUACUGGCAGUCUUGAGUACAGUUGAGGUAGGCGGAAUUCGUGGUGUAGCGGUGAAAUGCUUAGAUAUCACGAAGAACUCCGAUUGCGAAGGCAGCUUACUAAACUGCCACUGACAUUGAUGCUCGAAAGUGUGGGUAGCAAACAGGAUUAGAUACCCGAGUAGUC